rnacentral:rRNA from 1 species
UACGUAGGGGGCGAGCGUUGUCCGAAUUCACUGGGCGUAAAGCGCGCGUAGGCGGGCUUUUAAGUUGUGGGUGAAAUCCCGAGGCUUAACCUCGGAGCUGCCUGCAAAACUGGAAGCCUUGAGGUUUGGAGAGGGAAGUGGAAUUCCAGGUGUAGCGGUGAAAUGCGUAGAUAUCUGGAGGAACACCCGUGGCGAAGGCGGCUUCCUGGCCAUAUCCUGACGCUGAGGUGCGAAAGCUAGGGGAGCGAAC